GUCGUAGCAAAUUCUGCGACCGGGUUUAGCAGCCUGAAAACGAAUGCGGACAACCGCAGAUUUCCGAUAUUGCGGUAUUUUU
rnacentral:sRNA from 1 species